rnacentral:rRNA from 1 species
AGACCCGAAACCCGGUGAUCUAGCCAUGGGCAGGUUGAAGGUUGGGUAACACUAACUGGAGGACCGAACCGACUAAUGUUGAAAAAUUAGCGGAUGACCUGUGGCUGGGGGUGAAAGGCCAAUCAAACCGGGAGAUAGCUGGUUCUCCCCGAAAGCUAUUUAGGUAGCGCCUCGUGAAUUCAUCUCCGGGGGUAGAGCACUGUUUCGGCUAGGGGGCCAUCCCGGCUUACCAACCCGAUGCAAACUGCGAAUACCGGAGAAUGUUAUCACGGGAGACACACGGCGGGUGCUAACGUCCGUCGUGAAGAGGGAAACAACCCAGACCGCCAGCUAAGGUCCCAAAGUCAUGGUUAAGUGGGAAACGAUGUGGGAAGGCCCAGACAGCCAGGAUGUUGGCUUAGAAGCAGCCAUCAUUUAAAGAAAGCGUAAUAGCUCACUGGUCGAGUCGGCCUGCGCGGAAGAUGUAACGGGGCUAAACCAUGCACCGAAGCUGCGGCAGCGAACGUAUCACCCAAGACAACUUUACGGAGUUGACGAUUGACGGAGCGAAGCGACGUCAAAGCGUUCAUUAAAGUCGAGUUGGCUUAGGGAUACGUUCGUUGGGUAGGGGAGCGUUCUGUAAGCCUGUGAAGGUGUGUCGUGAGGCAUGCUGGAGGUAUCAGAAGUGCGAAUGCUGACAUAAGUAACGAUAAAGCGGGUGAAAAGCCCGCUCGCCGGAAGACCAAGGGUUCCUGUCCAACGUUAAUCGGGGCAGGGUGAGUCGACCCCUAAGGCGAGGCCGAAAGGCGUAGUCGAUGGGAAACGGGUUAAUAUUCCCGUACUUGGUGUUACUGCGAAGGGGGGACGGAGAAGGCUAUGUUGGCCGGGCGACGGUUGUCCCGGUUUAAGCGUGUAGGUGUGUGUUCCAGGUAAAUCCGGUUCACUUUAACACUGAGGCGUGACGACGAGGCACUACGGUGCUGAAGCAACAAAUGCCCUGCUUCCAGGAAAAGCCUCUAAGCAUCAGGUAACAUCAAAUCGUACCCCAAACCGACACAGGUGGUCAGGUAGAGAAUACCAAGGCGCUUGAGAGAACUCGGGUGAAGGAACUAGGCAAAAUGG